CUACGGGACGCUCCAGUGAGGAAUAUUGCACAAUGGAGGAAACUCUGAUGCAGCAACGCCGCGUGGAGGAUGACGCAUUUCGGUGUGUAAACUCCUUUUAUAUGUCAAGAAAAUGACGGUAGCAUAUGAAUAAGCACCGGCUAACUCCGCGCCAGCAGCCGCGGUAAUACGGAGGGUGCAAGCGUUACUCGGAAUCACUGGGCGUAAAGGACGCGUAGGCGGGAUAUCAAGUCAGGUGUGAAAUCCUACAGCUUAACUGUAGAACUGCACUUGAAACUGGUAACCUAGAGUAUGGGAGGGGGAGAUGGAAUUAGUGGUGUAGGGGUAAAAUCCGUAGAUAUCACUAGGAAUACCUAAAGCGAAGGCGAUCUCCUGGAACAUAACUGACGCUAAGGCGUGAAAGCGUGGGGAGCAAACAGGAUUAGAUACCCUUGUAGUC
rnacentral:rRNA from 1 species